rnacentral:rRNA from 1 species
UACGUAGGGUGCUAGCGUUAAUCGGAAUUACUGGGCGUAAAGCGUGCGCAGGCGGCGAUGUAAGACAGGUGUGAAAUCCCCGGGCUUAACCUGGGAACUGCAUUUGUGGCUGCAUUGCUGGGGUGCGGCAGAGGGGGAUGGAAUUCCGCGUGUAGCAGUGAAAUGCGUAGAUAUGCGGAGGAACACCGAUGGCGAAGGCGAUCCCCUGGGCCUGCACUGACGCUCAGGCACGAAAGCGUGGGGAGCAAACAGG